AGAGUUUGAUCCUGGCUCAGGAUGAACGCUAGCUACAGGCUUAACACAUGCAAGUCGAGGGGCAGCAUGGUCUUAGCUUGCUAAGGCUGAUGGCGACCGGCGCACGGGUGAGUAACACGUAUCCAACCUGCCGUCUACUCUUGGCCAGCCUUCUGAAAGGAAGAUUAAUCCAGGAUGGCAUCAUGAGUUCACAUGUCCGCAUGAUUAAAGGUAUUUUCCGGUAGACGAUGGGGAUGCGUUCCAUUAGAUAGUAGGCGGGGUAACGGCCCACCUAGUCAACGAUGGAUAGGGGUUCUGAGAGGAAGGUCCCCCACAUUGGAACUGAGACACGGUCCAAACUCCUACGGGAGGCAGCAGUGAGGAAUAUUGGUCAAUGGGCGAUGGCCUGAACCAGCCAAGUAGCGUGAAGGAUGACUGCCCUAUGGGUUGUAAACUUCUUUUAUAAAGGAAUAAAGUCGGGUAUGCAUACCCGUUUGCAUGUACUUUAUGAAUAAGGAUCGGCUAACUCCGUGCCAGCAGCCGCGGUAAUACGGAGGAUCCGAGCGUUAUCCGGAUUUAUUGGGUUUAAAGGGAGCGUAGGUGGAUUGUUAAGUCAGUUGUGAAAGUUUGCGGCUCAACCGUAAAAUUGCAGUUGAAACUGGGAGUCUUGAGUACAGUAGAGGUGGGCGGAAUUCGUGGUGUAGCGGUGAAAUGCUUAGAUAUCACGAAGAACUCCGAUUGCGAAGGCAGCUCACUAGACUGUCACUGACACUGAUGCUCGAAAGUGUGGGUAUCAAACAGGAUUAGAUACCCUGGUAGUCCACACAGUAAACGAUGAAUACUC
rnacentral:rRNA from 1 species